rnacentral:tRNA from 1 species
GGGGAUUUAGCUCAGCGGUAGAGUACUUGCCUAGCAAGCGCAAGACCCUGGGUUCAGUCCCCA